UCGCAGAACGACUCUCGGCAACGGAUAUCUCGGCUCUCGCAUCAUGAAGAAGUAGCGAAAUGCGAUACCUGGUGUGAAUUGCAGAAUCCCGCGAACCAUCGAGUCUUUGAACGCAAGUUGCGCCCGAAGCCACCAGGCCGAGGGCACGUCUGCCUGGGCGUCACGCG
rnacentral:rRNA from 1 species